UAAACAUAUCAGUGCACCAAACUCCAGUAGGGGGGUCAGUUUCUCCAAGAGAGUCGGUCACUCUGCAGUGCACGGUCCUCUCUGAGAUCAGAGCAGCAGAUCUCCGAGUGCUCUGGUUCAGAGCUGCUGCAGGACAAUCCUUUCCUGAAAUCAUUUACACUCACAACAGCAGCAGCCGUCAGUGUGAGAUCAGCUCUUCUACACAAAGCUGUUGGUACAACUUCUCCAAGAACACCACCACCACGACAACCACCAUACUGGAACUUACUACUGCGCUGUGGAAGCUUGCGGGAAGAUCAUUUUAGGCAGUGGAUCAUCAGUAGAACUGACCUGUCCUGUGGAUCCCACUGUGUUCUAUCUGGGAGCAGCUUUGGGAAUCUGUGUGAUUGUGAUCUGUGUUCAAGCCAUUCGAAAUUGCAGCGUCCAUCAUAGGGAGAGAUCGUGAUUCGGUGGUGGAGAACAAAGCCAGUCAGGUACUACAUGUUCUCUCAUCCACACUGACGCUGUUUAAUUCUUAUAGAGUUCUCUAAUCUUCAGCCUUUAAUAUUUCAUAUUCAUCUCUACAGGACUCUGCAGCUG